rnacentral:rRNA from 1 species
AACGUAGGAGACAAACGUUAUCCGGAGUUACUGGGCGUAAAGGGCGUGUAGGCGGUUUGUUAAGUCUGGCGUGAAAGCUCUCGGCUAAACCGGGAGAGGUCGUUGGAUACUGGCAAACUAGAGGACGGUAGAGGCGUGUGGAAUUCCACGUGUAGCGGUGAAAUGCGUAGAGAUGUGGAGGAACACCAGUGGCGAAGGCGACUUUCUGGCCUAUAACUGACGCUGAGGCGCGAAAGCGUGGGGAGCAAACAGG